AGGCGUGGCGGUGUGGAUUUCGGAUGCCGAGUUGGAAGCUCGGAGUUUUGUCAUGGUUACCGAAUAAUUGUCACAUAUUACAUUUACAGAUAAAUUCCUCUAUUUACAUAAUAUCGAGGUCUCUUUCAUUCUUUUGUUGUCUUACCAUUUCUAUCAAUAUAUAUAUAUAUUAUAU